rnacentral:rRNA from 1 species
UACGUAGGUGGCAAGCGUUGUCUGGAAUUAUUGGGCGUAAAGGGCGCGUAGGCGGCUCGGCACGUCCGUUGUGAAAUCGCCCGGCUCAACUGGGCGGGGUCAGCGGAUACGGCCGAGCUUGAGCAAGCUAGGGGGCAAUGGAAUUCCUGGUGUAGCGGUGAAAUGCGUAGAUAUCAGGAGGAACACCAGUGGCGAAGGCGCUCUGCUAGGCCGUAACUGACACUGAGGGACGAAAGCUAGGGGAGCGAAUGGG